CAUCUGGGUACACAGAGAUUCAUACUCCUGUGUCCCUACCACUAUGUUCAAAAUUGACCUUCCACAUACAGAAAUUGAAACUCCCUGCUUCUGAUCAUCACUAAAAUUCAGUGUGAAGAAAAGAAUAUGAUCUGGACUACUGUAAGUCUUCCACCAUCUCCCUCAAGAAAACUGCCGAAGAUUAAAAUUACAAAUGCUUAGCAAAUACCUCGAGACCAGGCUCCUCUACCCUUGAUUUCUGUACAACCCAGUUGGCAGCUUGGAGGAACCAGUCAACAGAGCACAGGCACAAGAAAACAUGCAGUUUUCUCUACCAUCUGAAAUUCAUGAUACAGAGCUGAAAGUCGAAAACCCAAGUGGGCAAAAAGCUCCCAGUGAACAGAGAAUGGGAUGGAGAGGAACAAACUCCUGAUGUUUCCCCUACUUUUCCUAUUUCUUCAAAAAGCGAAGUGUACCAGAAUAGUAACAAAUGGGUAAGUGGUGUGUCUGCACUGUUAGAAAGGUGCUGGUCAAUUAUCACCAGCUGAAAUUUUUUUGAUGCAUAUUUAGACUCACCAGCUCUUCCAAAAUUCAGUUUCCAUGACAGAAAAUGAUGAUUUAUUUAUGUAACAUGUUCUUCAGGUAACAAUGACUUUUGCCAAGACUUUUUGAAGUAGUCAACAGUUCCUUAAGUAAGAUGCUGACCUAUUAUGGAUUGAUGAUGUGACUCAUUUACAUUUAAGUCAGACUGUAAUUCUGCACACUGCUAGAUGGAGUGACAGGGUUCCCCUCUGACAUUAUCCAAAGGAAAGCCAAGAGCUAAUUCUCACAUCAACAUGACCUGGAGCCUUUUUGGCUGCUAUGAACUCACAGCUCUUAUCAAAAAUCCAAAGCAUUCAGCACUCAGCCAUGUUGACAAAUCCAGAACAUCAAAGAGGGCCAGAAACUCUCUGUCACCUGAGACUGUAAGGCACAGGCAUUUUGCGUACAACUGUGCAGUUCAGUCUCCCGUAUUAAGAGAGAAGUGUGGGUUCACUCCCCUUUGCUCAGGUAGCCAUAUCUCAAAGUCCAUGCUUAAGUCCUUUGUGCUGUUAGUAAUUCUAUGCUAAGACUAAAAUCCUUCAGAAUUGUCUGUGAUAAUAGUGAUAAUAGCAGUUCAUACUAAACAGUAAUCAUAACAAUAAGUUUUUUCUUCACUUAACCAACAGUCAUUAAGCCAGAUGGA